rnacentral:rRNA from 1 species
CACGUAUUUAGCCGGAGCUUCUUAGUCAGGUACCGUCAUUUUCUUCCCUGCUGAUAGAAGUUUACAUACCGAGAUACUUCUUCCUUCACGCGGCGUCGCUGCAUCAGGGUUUCCCCCAUUGUGCAAUAUUCCCCACUGCUGCCUCCCGUAGGAGUUUGGGCCGUGUCUCAGUCCCAAUGUGGCCGUCCACCCUCUCAGGCCGGCUACUGAUCGUCGCCUUGGUGGGCCUUUACCCCUCCAACUAGCUAAUCAGACGCGGGUCCAUCGUAUACCACCGGAGUUUUUCACACUGCACCAUGCGGUGCUGUGCGCUUAUGCGGUAUUAGCAGCCAUUUCUGGCUGUUAUCCCCCUGUAUACGGCAGGUUACCCACGCGUUACUCACCCGUCCGCCACUCAGUCAUGUAUUUCCCUUCCUCGAAAGUAAGUUCCAUACAUGCUUCGUUCGACUUGCAUGUGUUAGGCACGCCGCCAGCGUUCAUCCUGAGCCAGGAUCAAACU